rnacentral:rRNA from 1 species
UCUACGGGAGGCAGCAGUGGGGAAUAUUGGGCAAUGGGCGCAAGCCUGACCCAGCAACGCCGCGUGAAGGAAGAAGGCUUUCGGGUUGUAAACUUCUUUUCUGAGGGACGAAGAAAGUGACGGUACCUCAGGAAUAAGCCACGGCUAACUACGGGCCAGCAGCCGCGGUAAUACGUAGGUGACAAGCGUUAUCCGGAUUUAUUGGGUGUAAAGGGCAUGGAGGCGGGAAUGCAAGUCAGAGGUGAAAACUCAGGGCUCAACCCUGAGCCUGCAUUUGAAACUGUUUUUCUUGAGUGCUGGAGAGGCAGUCGGAAUUCGGGGUGUAGCGGUGAAAUGCGUAGAUAUACGGAGGAACACCAGUGGCGAAGGCGGAUUGCUGGACAGUAACUGACGCUGAGGCGCGAAAGCGUGGGGAGCAAACAGGAUUAGAUACCCUAGUAGUC